AACGAACGCUGGCGGCAUGCCUAACACAUGCAAGUCGAACGAGACCUUCGGGUCUAGUGGCGCACGGGUGCGUAACGCGUGGGAACCUGCCCUUAGGUUCGGAAUAACUCCCCGAAAGGGGUGCUAAUACCGGAUAAUGUCUUCGGACCAAAGAUUUAUCGCCUUUGGAUGGGCCCGCGUUGGAUUAGCUAGUUGAUAGGGUAAAAGCCUACCAAGGCGACGAUCCAUAGCUGGUCUGAGAGGAUGAUCAGCCACACUGGGACUGAGACACGGCCCAGACUCCUACGGGAGGCAGCAGUGGGGAAUAUUGGAAAAUGGGCGAGAGCCUGAUCCAGCAAUGCCGCGUGAGUGAUGAAGGCCUUAGGGUUGUAAAGCUCUUUUACCCGGGAUGAUAAUGACAGUACCGGGAGAAUAAGCUCCGGCUAACUCCGUG
rnacentral:rRNA from 1 species